GGGUCAGUAGGUUGGUCGUGCCACCGGUACGUACUGGUCUCACUGAUUCCUCCUUCCUGAAGAACCGUAAUGCCAUUAAUUUGGUGUUGCGGGGAAACAGGACUGUUACUUUGAAAAGAUUAGAGUGUUUAAAGCAAGCUAACGCUUGAAUACAUUAGCAUGGAAUAAUGAAAUAGGACGACCGAUCCUAUUUUGUUGGUUUCUAGGAUUGACGUA
rnacentral:rRNA from 1 species